rnacentral:lncRNA from 1 species
CGGGGUCCCCCCCUCGCAGGAGGUGGCCCCGCGGGGCUGCCACGCGCCUCCCGGCCGCCUGCCGCGAGUGCCUUGGGCGCCCGCACCUCACCCGCCAGCCAAAUGCCAAGAGGUUGGAAAUCAGCCCGGCCCCCGUUUUCUAUUCCUCCUCCGUCCGUAACGCCCCGCACCCUGCCGUCCCGAACGGCCGGGCGGGAUGGAGGCAGCACCUCUCUGAAAAUCCCUGUCCUCCCUUCCCAUCCCCGGAGAAAACCCCGCUGGUGCAAGGCGGCCCCUGCGUGGGCUGGCCGGGCUCCUCCUGCUACUGGUGGGGCCAGUGGGACAGGACGGUGCUGCUGGUGGGACUGGUGGGACUGGAGGGUGCUGCUGGUGGGACUGGUGGGACUGGAGGGUGCUGCACCAUGGGGCUGGUGUCCCCACGUCCCCACCUGCUCCUCCUGCUCAGGGAGGUGGGGAGGGAGCGUGGAGCAGGGGGGACGUCCUGGUGCCCCCCGCUUUGCGAGGCGUCCCGCUGGGUUCGUGUAACCUCUCUCGCUCUCUUUCCCCGCGGGAGCGGCUGGUCUCGGAGCGGAGUCGGGGAGACGCGGCUCUCGCAGUGCGCGGGCGAAGCUGAGGGAGUCUUCAGCUGGUGGUGGGAUCAGGCGUGGUAACAAUUGGAUGAAAGGCUUCCGAAGGCACCCGUCCCUGCUUCGCGGCUGCAAAUCAUCUGCUGGAUGGCAGAAGGACUGGGCAGAAGGGCUGGCGAAAUCUGGCUGGUAGGGAUGGUCUCCCACACAAAGAGGAGGCGCUAAUGAAGCCCAGCUGGGGAAGGGAGUUCUCGCGACUGCUUUUUAUCACUGGGUGCCCCCCAGAUCAGAAACCUUCUAGGAGCCCAGCUGGGACAGCGGGACGCGGUCGGGCAAGGUGCUGGCUGGUGCAGCCCGAAUCGUCUCGCUUUUUUCCUUUUAACCUGAGCUCAACGUUUCCGGCCGUUCAUCGGGUCCCCUCUCUGCUCAGAAACUCCCAAAUUCCCCAUCCACCCACCAGGAUCUGCUCGCGGGGCGGCCCCGGGGGGACGGUGCCACUCGUCAGGCACCCGAGGCGAGAGGGGUCCCGUGGGCACGGGGCGAACACUGAACACCGGGGUGGGCGCACGCAGGCUGCUUUCCCGACGUUUCCAGCCCAUUUCCAGACCAAAGAGGCUCUGAAAAGCAGCUCAACGUUUGACGUCUGCUUUGACUUGAAGCUCGGAGCUCCGGGGAGGUGCUUGCACGUUACCUGUGACCAAAGCCCUGCAGAUGCGAAGCCCGGGAGCUCGUUGUCAUUGGUAUCGGGCUGGAGAGCUUGCGUUCGUGGAAGAAGCAGACCAAGUUUACGCCGGUCGGGGAACCUGGACACGCCGCGGUUCGGCAAGCAGGAGCGCGGCCCCUCCGUUUGUUGCUGA